ACCUUGUCUAUUUCUUGAAAGUCACCCCUUUCUUUUCUGAUCCUUAGAUAGCAUGGAACAGCACAAUAACAAAAUUGUAAUCAUUACUUGGAUAACAACAUUUUUCCUCGAGACAAACUAGACGAUAUCCCACUAAACUUGUAUUGGUUGCACCCACCUGGGAUAACAAAUCACUGAAGACGCAUGCCCUUUCCAAACUUGGCCUAAACAGGUUGGAUUUGGAUUAAAGCUUUUGAUCCAACUUGGAUCGUGAAGAUAGAGUUCUUUAUUUGUGUGAGUUUGGUCAUGCCGAGUCAGGUCAUGACCAUGACAUUAGGUUUUUAAGAGUAGUUGGUCUUUUCAAUACUAUUUGUUUAGUUCACCUUAGAACUGAGCCACCGAGUCUUUAGUGCCUGGAUCUGGAUGGGUGGAGUAGGUUUGCAGUUGGGUCUUGCAAAGUAGAGUAGGUUAUGGGACAAUAUAGCGAGGAUUGUUCAUGCAGGUCAACCUGUGUGUACUUAUGGGUGAAAGAGUUCUCAUUUGACGCUGACUCAUGUUAACUCUGAGUUAACAUUAUAUACGGUAUUAUUCUAAAUUGACCUAACCCAACACAACGCCACCUAUUUUCAUGCCUAGAAAUAAUUGAAAAGAAUCUCUUACCACCACUG
rnacentral:lncRNA from 1 species